UUCACACUUCACAGUUCAUACUUCAUAGCCCAGAAGACGAAGAACUUUAACUUGGAGAUAUUGAUUAUGAUGAAGAUGAAGUGAUAAACUGAUGAAGUGAUGCAAAACAUUUGAAAUUACUACUUCAUUAUAAAAAAUGUAAACAUUUCAUUAUCUACUUAUUAAUUUGAAAUUGAGAAAUAAAGUAGCACUUGCAAUAAGUGCAAUUC
rnacentral:lncRNA from 1 species